GCACCGUGCUGCAUGGCGGGGUGGUGGCGCUGAUGGCGCCGCGGACGCUGCCACUGUUCGACACGGAGGCCGCGCGCC
rnacentral:tRNA from 1 species